CGUGGGUAACCUACCUCAUAGUGGGGGAUAACAGUCGGAAACGACUGCUAAUACCGCAUAGGACAUAGGAUCACAUGAUCCAGUGAGGAAAGGUGGCGCAAGCUAUCGCUAAGAGAUGGACCCGCGGUGCAUUAGCUAGUUGGUAGGGUAAAGGCCUACCAAGGCGAUGAUGCAUAGCCGACCUGAGAGGGUGAUCGGCCACAUUGGGACUGAGACACGGCCCAAACUCCUACGGGAGGCAGCAGUAGGGAAUCUUCCGCAAUGGACGCAAGUCUGACGGAGCAACGCCGCGUGAGUGAAGAAGGUCUUCGGAUCGUAAAGCUCUGUUGUUAGAGAAGAACAGCGCAUAGAGUAACUGUUAUGCGUGUGACGGUAUCUAACCAGAAAGCCACGGCUAACUACGUGCCAGCAGCCGCGGUAAUACGUAGGUGGCGAGCGUUGUCCGGAUUUAUUGGGCGUAAAGGGAGUGUAGGCGGUCUUUUAAGUCUGAUGUGAAAGCCCACGGCUCAACCGUGGAGGGUCAUUGGAAACUGGGAGACUUGAGUGCAGAAGAGGAGAGCGGAAUUCCAUGUGUAGCGGUGAAAUGCGUAGAUAUAUGGAGGAACACCAGUGGCGAAGGCGGCUCUCUGGUCUGUAACUGACGCUGAGGCUCGAAAGCGUGGGGAGCAAGCAGGAUUAGAUACCCUGGUAGUCCACGCCGUAAACGAUGAGUGCUAAGUGUUGGAG
rnacentral:rRNA from 1 species